rnacentral:lncRNA from 12 species
GUUCUGUCAAGGUGGCGGGGGAGGCUGACCUGGCGGGGUCCCCACCUGGCGUCAGGCUAGAAGCCUCUAGAAGGCCUGGUUUGUGUUGCAGGUCCCACGUCCGAGCCCAGACUCUCAGGGAGACCCAGGCCCUUGUCUUUAACCGGCUCCCAGGUGACCCGUGUGGGUCCCACAGCGAGAGAAGCAGCGUGCUGGUGGGAGCGGACUGUGGCUGGCAGUUGAAGCGCCCAGCACCCGCUCACCCACCCACCCGCUCACUCAACAGCCUCUCUCGUGGGGACUCGCUGGCGCAGGGGCCUGUGGCCACUGGUCCAUGAACGCAAGAUGCGGAGUGAAGCCUUGGAAGGCCUGGAAAGCCUAGAGGCUGUGUCUGCGCAGGAGACCGUUCUGAACGCCAAGUGCUGCCGCGUCAGCUGACACACCACAGUUAUUAAUUAUGGAUGCUGCUGGAAUCUCUGCUGCACAGUUGGGACCAUCAAAUAUACACAGCGGCACAAACCACCCAGCAAAUGGGAGGCAACGGGGCGUGCUCCUAGUGCACAGGAGUGAAGUUAGCCCUGGACAGAGUCUCCCCUCUGAGUUUAAUACCUGGUCAUCUAGCAUCCUGGAAGCAUCGGGAAGUCUGUAAGAGCUGAAAGCGCAAGUGUCAAAUGGUAACACGUGAAACUUGGGCGAGCUCCUGCCACCAGCUGCCUGUCCCCUCUAUUCUUCAUGGGCCUCCCUCAUUAUAGUAGGCGUGUGGCCACGGUACAGGUGGUGGAGAUGAUGUGCUAAGGAGUGUGGAGAAGAUAUUUUUACAAGGCAGGGAUCUAGUUGCAAAGGACUGAAACCCGGUUGCUGUGGAUCAAAGAGAAAAGAUGUUUUUGUUUGCUCGUUUGUUUGUUUGUUUGUUUGUUUGUAAGCCUUGAAGUGGCCACUGGACCCUCACUUCUGUGGCUGUGGCCAGACUCAAGUCUUCAUGGAAACAGGAGUAGAGCUUCUUGCCGUCUGCUGCCAGGCGAUCCUGGUCAGGCCCCCGUUCGCAGCAUCUUCUGUUCAGUACUAACCACCCCAGAGUCUAAACCAUCACCACAUGUAGAGGUGUAUUUGUAGUUGUCUAAGUAACAGAUGGAUGAAAUAUGAAUGAAAUACAUUCAAUGAGAUGAAGCACAGAAACUAAAUAUGCAACUAAA